GACGAACGCUGGCGGCGUGCCUAACACAUGCAAGUCGAGCGAAUGAAGUUCCUUCGGGAAUGGAUUUAGCGGCGGACGGGUGAGUAACACGUGGGCAACCUGCCUCAUAGAGGGGAAUAGCCUUCCGAAAGGGAGAUUAAUACCGCAUAAGAUUGUAGUACCGCAUGGUACAGCAAUUAGCGGGGCAAUCCGCUAUGAGAUGGGCCCGCGGCGCAUUAGCUAGUUGGUGAGGUAACGGCUCACCAAGGCGACGAUGCGUAGCCGACCUGAGAGGGUGAUCGGCCACAUUGGGACUGAGACACGGCCCAGACUCCUACGGGAGGCAGCAGUGGGGAAUAUUGCACAAUGGGGGAAACCCUGAUGCAGCAACGCCGCGUGAGUGAUGACGGCCUUCGGGUUGUAAAGCUCUGUCUUCAGGGACGAUAAUGACGGUACCUGAGGAGGAAGCCACGGCUAACUACGUGCCAGCAGCCGCAGUAA
rnacentral:rRNA from 1 species